CAGUCGCCGCGGGAACACGAAGGGGGCUAGCGUUGUUCGGAUUUACUGGGCGUAAAGGGCGCGUAGGCGGACUGAUAAGUCAGGGGUGAAAUCCCAAGGCUCAACCUUGGAACUGCCUUUGAUACUGUUUGUCUUGAGUUCGAGAGAGGUAAGUGGAACUGCGAGUGUAGAGGUGAAAUUCGUAGAUAUUCGCAAGAACACCAGUGGCGAAGGCGGCUUACUGGCUCGAAACUGACGCUGAGGCGCGAAAGCGUGGGGAGCAAACAGGAUUAGAUACCCCCGUAGUCCCUGUCUCUUAUAA
rnacentral:rRNA from 1 species